rnacentral:lncRNA from 1 species
GUGGAUAAAUAAUAUUCUCUCUGAAGAACCAAUGCCCCUUAGAAAAAUGACUGAUUCUAGAUGUGAGAUAGCCUCUUAUAUGUAUUUCUUGACUCACUUUACUAACAAGGAUCUUCAAUACAAUACAGUUGAAGAGUAGCAGUGAUCUUGUAUUCACUGAAUACAAGAAUGGUUACUUGUAUUCAUUUCUUUAUUAAGAAUGCCUCUAAUGUUUCCAAUAAAUGUUUGCUACAUAUGCUGUAUCAAGUUGUAAAAGUUUAACCCGAGCCAGUCAUUUGCUUAUUUGCUCUCAGCUCUAUUCCCACCCUUCUGUGUUCCUUGUUUUUCAGAAGGUUAGAAGUCUGCAAACUACAUUUAUCAUUUCCAUUGUCAGAUGGCUUCUGAUUAGAUUUUGUCACUGGGUGGUAUUGGUUAAAGUUGGAUGGAAGGAAUAAAUUAUAUAUUUUUCCAUAAUCUUGGUUUCUGGUAAUGUUUUCAGUAGUGGCAGUGAUAGCAGAAGAUGAGUACCGCUUCAGGGUUCCUGGUGUAGCAGUGCAGUUCCAGCAAGCAUGUCAGAAGUCUUGCUAGUGUGGUACUGGUGGGAUCAGGCUUUGAUGGUGGCAUCUGCAGUGGCCAGAAGGUCAUGACAGCUGGAUCUUAGACAGACAUUCUGAGUCAUGAGGAGGAAGCCAAGUUCUGAGGAUGGUGGAGCAGGAAGAUAGAAGUUGGAACCCCAAUGACCUUGUGAACUAUUCUACUGACUGUGAACUGCCAACUCCGCACUUUUUUACAUGAGCAAGAAAUAAACCUCUUUCUUGUUUAAGCCA